UACGGAGGGUGCAAGCGUUAUCCGGAAUCACUGGGUUUAAAGGGUGCGUAGGCGGCUAGAUAAGUCAGAGGUGAAAGUUUGUCGCUUAACGAUAGAACUGCCUUUGAUACUGUUAAGCUUGAAAGUAGGUGAGGUUGGCGGAAUGUGACAUGUAGCGGUGAAAUGCAUAUAUAUGUCAUAGAACACCGAUUGCGAAGGCAGCGGGCGAUCCUGACUUUGACGAUGAGGCACGGAAGCGUGGGUAGCGAACAGG
rnacentral:rRNA from 1 species